rnacentral:lncRNA from 1 species
GAAAAUUGGCAAGCAUUUGAAACACACGUCAAUACUUGUUGCCAAAAUGAUUCAGAUUGUUGUGAACUCCAUGUCCGUCUAUCAGAUACUAUCAUGAUUUUAAGGCGUAGUUUUAGAAGACUAGCCAUAGUGGAGAGUAACAUACCCAUAUCACUAUGGUUACUAUUUUUACAGUGGGUAGUAACAUAAAUAUGAUGUCAUCGAAAACUUUAUUUAUUAGGUUAUAGACUCAUAUUAUAUUAAGAUAUGUGAUGUUACAGUAACUAGCUAAGCUACUCGCUUAACCUAUGUCCUCAUUAACUCAUGGCCACAUAGGCAAAUUUGCUCUAUGUUACUCUUGAAGUUACUCCCACUAUGGCUAGUCGAAUUGCAUGUACAAGUUCACCUAAAAAAUUCAAGUUGAUGCCGAAAGAUACACAAUGCACCUAUAUCCAACACUUGAGUUUUGGAAUAGUUUGCAGAAAUGAGGGCUUUGCAAAAUGAGAGCCAGACGUGAGAGGAAGUAACAUACACAUGACUAGUACUUGUCUUUUGCCUGUAAUGAAGAACUUCCAACAUACAUGGUGGAUUGAGCUCUAUGCAACAAUCCAAUGGAGUCAAAUAUUUGCUACCUCGGUGUGUUGGACCUCUACGGAAGCGUAUAAUAUCCACCAAGGCCAUAACCUUCAUGUGUGGCAGUCAACCCAACAGUGCAUUCUUGAUAGGUUUCUUCAUGUCCAGUGGGUCGUGGUACGUAGGUGAGGAUAUUGAAGCAUAAGGGUCUCGUACUCUUAAUUUGGGCGUAACUAGGACAAGAAAUGCAGUAUGUAAGAAAUCUUGUGCAUUGAACACGACAUUUGGUGAGAGUAUCCAAAUCACACCGGAUCAUGUGUGUUCUCUACCUAGUGUACUGUUAUUUAUAUCUUCCAUUUUAUGCCUAGUUUAUUUUGUAUAGACGCCGCUGCAUGAGAAUAGAAAACAUAUCGAAGCACACUCCUCAACUUCAAUUGAGUAUUUAAGUCCAUGUGUUAACGUGUCUCACCGAUUCAUUUGCUUGCAUUCAGAUCGAUAAGUGCAAUAAUCUCCUCAGCAUCUUGUGUAUGAUUGCAUCAAUUGUUGUAGUGUCGGUGGCUACAUAUAAUGCUCCUAUGGAAUGAAAAAAUCGUAGGCUAAGAGAAGAUGAACAAUGUAAAAAGGUGAACCAAAAUGCUGAGAGAAAAAGUAGUGCAAAGUAUAGGCAUAGGUGUGAGUGGAGUCGGUAAAAUUUUGGUCAAGCAUGCCAAAUGGCCCAUUUGAGUACUAGAUGGCAUAGGCAGAAUCGAGCCUUUGGUACUACGUAUGAUUCUAAUUCGACCCCCGCAAAACACGUUCUCACAUGAGCUCAAGUUUACCUAUAUUCUCAAGAAAUUUGGUCUCUCUUGAUGUCAACCCUGUCGGGAAACGUUGCAUGAAAAAAAAAUCCUAUGCUCAUCAAUAUCAAUGUACGAGAUGCACAUCUAUGAGAGGAGUGAUUGUAUCUACAUACCCUUGUAGAUCUCUCAGCGAAAGCGUUAAGAAAUGUGGCUGAUGUAGUUGAACGUCUUCGCAAUCCUAUCACGAUCCGUCCCGCAAACUCCCGAUCAAGUGUCAAACGUACGACACCUUCGCGUUCAGCACACGUACAACCCGAUGACGUACCCGCCUCCUUGAUCCAACAAGCAAG